UCGAGAGUAGAUAAAGUUAUCACCAAUAAAGUCAAAAUCUUUGUCGUAACACUUAUAAUUAGUGCCGUCCUCGUCUGAGCAGAACCAAAAAGCAUCAAAUCUGUAUGGUGACCAACAAUAAUCAUGGAAGGAAUUGUAAAUUUCAGUAUCAAAAGGAAGCAUUGUUUUAGACAAUAAAAUUCAGGGGCAAACCAUGAAUACCAGAAAAAAAACUAUCAAAUAUUCAAAAAAUGGAAAUUCCCAUGGUAAGCGGAAUGGGUAUCGUCUAAGACCACUAGGAAGAAGCUCCCGUGAAAUGAUGGAAUUUGAUGCCGAACGUAGAAAAUUGGAUAUCUGGAGAUUUGGACAUAAUUUUCUGACGGAUAAUAUCGAAGAAGUUACAAGAAAUCAAUAUUACUUCCCAAUUAAAAAAUUCCAUAGAUUGAACUACUGAAAAUUAAUUAUCCUCAAAUAAACUGUUUCAUGUGUUGGAUGCAGA